GAGUUUGAUCCUGGCUCAGGAUGAACGCUGGCGGCGCGCCUAACACAUGCAAGUCGAACGAGAGAGAGGGAGCUUGCUUCCUCGAUCGAGUGGCGAACGGGUGAGUAACGCGUGAGGAACCUGCCUCAAAGAGGGGGACAACAGUUGGAAACGACUGCUAAUACCGCAUAAGCCCACGACCCGGCAUCGGGUUGAGGGAAAAGGAGCAAUCCGCUUUGAGAUGGCCUCGCGUCCGAUUAGCUAGUUGGUGAGGUAAUGGCCCACCAAGGCAACGAUCGGUAGCCGGACUGAGAGGUUGAACGGCCACAUUGGGACUGAGACACGGCCCAAACUCCUACGGGAGGCAGCAGUGGGGAAUAUUGCACAAUGGGGGAAACCCUGAUGCAGCAACGCCGCGUGAGUGAAGAAGUAUUUCGGUAUGUAAAGCUCUAUCAGCAGGGAAGAAAAAAAUGACGGUACCUGACUAAGAAGCCCCGGCUAACUACGUGCCAGCCGCCGCGGUAAUUC
rnacentral:rRNA from 1 species